UCUUUGUCUAUUAGGCCUGUCUUAUGUGUCACAGUUCCAAAAGGGCACACCAGUGUCUCUAGUGAGGCAGCCAUGCGCUGGACCCUCUGUGUUCGGACGCUAAAAGCUGGUGUGGUGCUACUACUCUCUCUUGGCUCACGGAACUGUGGGGAAGCUUUGUUGUCUCUCUCUGUUAUUUGUGGGCGUAGUACUGACCUCUGAGGCUAACCCCAGGCCAUAGUACCCCAUUCCACCAGGCUGUCUCCAGGCGCCAGGACGUGGUGUUCUGCCGGGCUGGGGCAGGUGCCGGAAACCCCUGCAAGCCAGGUGGACUUUGAGUCCAGUGCCUCGCAACCAAAAGGGGGGGGGGAACCAGUGCGAGCAGGUGAAUUCUUAAUUCGGUGACUCGCAGAGCGAGCAGGCGUAUUCUGAUUCAGUGACUCGCAGAACAAGCAGGCGGAUUCUGAUUCGGUGACUCACAGAGCGAGCAGGCGGAUUCUGAUUCGGUGACUUGCAGAAGAAGGUGUAAGCAGGCGCACUUUUAGUUCGGUGCCUUACAGAAUUAAGCGCGCGCAGAAAAUGGGUGUAGGUCAGUCGACAGGAAUUCCAGUGCCUUUAUGAUAAGAGCCUUCUGGUAUAGGAUCCUAAUGAAGUCUGAUAUUAAGUGCCGGAUGUCUUAGGGCAGUGCCACUUAAUAGAAACACCCAUGAGAAUUGGACAAUAAAGAAAGAUGCAUCUAAAUGUGGAAACUGUAGGAAAAAUGUGAAAAAGGAGAAAAAAAAAUGUGUGUGAAAAAUGAGUAUGAAUGUAAUGAGUGAAGAAUGAAUGCCGCUGCAUAGGUCUGAGACUUGAGCUGAUCCCAGCUGCACCAGGGCUCUCCCACGAGGGAGCUCUGAACGCAAGGAGGGGGGUCAGCUGAACCUCGAAACUCAGCGGAUAUGUGAGGGAGUGAUGACUCCCCUUAUUUCAUGAGCUGCUAAGGUCUGACACUCUAGACCUGGCAGACUCUUUCUUUGGAGUGUGUAAAGUUAAUUUAGGUGGGGGUUAGUCUAAGCACCCCCCCACUUUGCCGAAAGGCACCCCUGUGUACUACAUGUACGUGCAUAAUGGUCCAAGGACCUGUAAGCAUUUAACAAAUUGGAAAAGAGGAAAAAUUAAAGCCCUGAGGGAUGAAAGUAAAGCUCAGAAAAGCAAAAAUCCUCCCUGCAGUAAGAUAGGUAACUUAAAAGUUGCUGCAGCACCUCUGUGCCAAAAUAAUGCACAAGAAGUGGAAAAAAAAAGAAAAGAGCUUUCUCAGUUGGCACACCCAUAUCAACCAAGCUUGGGGGGGAAAUUUGGCACAACAUCACCCCUCUAUACCUCUUUAUAACGUAUACACAGAUAGAGAGGAAACAUGAAAAAUAACUUAAAGGAAUUAGCUCUUCCCUUUGAAAACACGGGCUCCUGUAACAAACUUGCCCGAUCCAAAGCAAAACACAAAGUUUAAAAUAAGUUUAACAGUUUAAGGAAAGUGUUCCUCCAAAUCAUAAGGGGGAGGGAAAAAAAC